UACGUAGGGUGCAAGCGUUUAAUCGGAAUUACUGGGCGUAAAGCGUGCGCAGGCGGUGAUGUAAGACAGGUGUGAAAUCCCCGGGCUUAACCUGGGAAUUGCGUUUGGAGACUGCAAGGCUGGAGUCUGGCAGAGGGGGGUGAGAAUUCCACGUGUAGCAGUGAAAUGCGUAGAGAUGUGGAGGAACACCGAUGGCGAAGGCAGCCCCCUGGGUCAAGACUGACGCUCAUGCACGAAAGCGUGGGGAGCAAACAGG
rnacentral:rRNA from 1 species